rnacentral:lncRNA from 10 species
CCAGACAGGUUCUUCCAGUCUGUUGUAAUAGAGACCCACUUCCUCCUGUCUUCACUUUCCCUCUCACAGGCGAUGGCUAUAUUGAACUGCCCGCACCCCCUUAUCCCUGGGUAAGGGGUACCUGCUCCAUUUGCCUUCCCGUCCCACACCCAUUCCAUCUUUUCUUGGCUCCCUCCUAUGCCUUCUUUGGGUGACUUCAAGUGACUUUAGAUAAGUCACCUUUUCCAGGAUGCCUUCCCUGACCUCACAGGGGCUCCAGCUGGGCAAGUCCUUAGCACCCUGGUGUGACCCCCUCCACCCUCUGGGGUCCUUGAAAGAAGGACGAGGACUUUGUUGGCAGCA